GUAGGUGGCAAGCGUUGUCCGGGAAUUAUUGGGGCGUAAAGCGCGCGCAGGCGGUUCUUUAAGUCUGAUGUGAAAGCCCACGGGCUCAACCGUGGGAGGGUCAUUGGAAACUGGAGAACUUGAGUACAGAAGAGGAUAGCGGAAUUCCACGUGUAGCGGUGAAAUGCGUAGAGAUGUGGAGGAACACCAGUGGCGAAGGCGGCUUUCUGGUCUGUAACUGACGCUGAGGCGCGAAAGCGUGGGGAGCAAACAGGAUUAGAUACCCUGGUAGUCCACGCCGUAAACGAUGAGUGCUAAGUGUUAGGGGGUUUCCGCCCCUUAGUGCUGCAGCUAACGCAUUAAGCACUCCGCCUGGGGAGUACGGCCGCAAAGGCUGA
rnacentral:rRNA from 1 species